UACGGAGGGUGCAAGCGUUAUCCGGAUUUACUGGGUUUAAAGGGUGCGUAGGUGGACAAUUAAGUCAGUGGUGAAAUCUCCGGGGCUUAACCCGGAAACUGCCAUUGAUACUACUUGUCUUGAAUACUUUGGAGGUAAGCGGAAUAUGUCAUGUAGCGGUGAAAUGCUUAGAUAUGACAUAGAACACCGAUUGCGAAGGCAGCAGGCUAAACGAAUAUUGACGCUGAGGCUCGAAAGCGUGGGGAUCAAACAGGA
rnacentral:rRNA from 1 species